AAAAUGGAGUCUGAGUCCUGAACAGUCCCAGUUCUGAUCACAUGGUCUGCAGCCCCUCCCACAACAUAGAGUAAAGGAAAACUGCAAACCAAUACACACAUAUACAAUACAGUAAGCAAUCUGAAUUUUAUACAUAACAAAUAACUAGUAGAGGCUUGAAGAAGGUUGCUAUUUCCAACACAAAACAGGUUGUUCCUGUAUAUCUACCAACGAUUUUGAACCAGAAUUCAGUUUCAUUAAGCUGGAGAUGGACCUUCAUAUAUAGCAACAAGCAGUUGCCAGGGGAGACGGAAGCCUUUCCUUGUCUACACCGGACUGAUUCCGGAAUGAGUCAGCAAGCAAAACCAUGGACUAAGGUUCCACGUUCACCACCGUAUUCCCAUCAAGCACUGUCUCUUUUCUUUUGUCCCUCCUGACCUCAAGCUUGAGAUGUGAGUGACCAGGGCCACAGCCAAGUUGACCUCGUAUUGCAUCAGUUGCAUUUGCAAAAGAAUGUGCCCAUUUGUGUCUGUUAUGUGUGUUCCUCAACUCCAGGCAGCCUGCGUAUGACAAAGUUUUCAAACUAUUCGCUUCUUGAGGAAGUUCCGCUGCAUAAUGAGCGUGUCUCAAAUGGCUGUAUUGAAAUGCAAAUCAUUGUUGCUUUGAUUUUCUUCUGCAAAGGAUGAUUAUUCUUGCCUCCGACUCCCAGAAAAAUGGUAUGCAGGAAGUGAGGGACGUGGGAAUGGGGUAAAAAGGGUUGGACAAGCAAGUAGGAGAUCUUACUAGGCACAGAUCUUUCUGUAUCUUUGCUACUUUACAGAAGUGCUGGAGGAAUAAAACUGGCUAGUUCCCAUGGCCAGAUGAUGGCCACGUCAGACAAUGGAUUCCUGGUAUGGAUGCAGUUACUGACCAUUUAUGUCCACAGAUUCAGUAUCCAUGGUGCCCACUAGCCAUGGCUUGAAAAUAUGUUUUCCCUCUCCCCAAAGCAAACAACCUUUGAUUUUUGUCUUUUAAGGGACUCUAUUUCACAAUGCAUAUAAUAAAAAUUUGAGCAUCCAUGGAUUUUGGUAUCCAUGGGCAGACCUGGAGCCCAUGCAUUAUGGGCAAUCAUUUGUGGCCGAGUAUGAUUAUUUUCCAAAGGUAGAGUUGUGGCAGUAGAUCUGUAAAUGAUUGUGAUGGACCUCUUCUGGGUUCACUUAGUCUUUCACAUUGAGGACAUAUAUUUCCAAAUUGAAGGUUAUCAUGACAAGGAUCUGCUGGACAUGCCUUCCUCUUCAAAAUUCAUGUUGCUGUUGGUAACACCUGAUCUCCAGUAACAAUACUUGAGUGCCAGGGCUUUCCAGUUCUUUGUGAUUAUAUCAAUUUUUUUAAGGUUAGCUAUAGACCCAUCUUUAAAUCUCUUUUUUUUUGUCCACCGAUAUUCUGUUUUUGAACUGAGAGUAAAGGAACUACUUUGGGAGAGGCUGAUUGGGCAUUUAGACAACGUGGUCAGUCCAGCAAAGCUGUUGGUGGAGAGUCAUUCUUUCGAUGCUGGUGGUCUUUGCUUCUUCCAGAACACUGACAUUUGUCUGCCUGUCUUCCCAAGAGAUUUGCAGAAUUUUUUGAAGGCAGUGCUGAUGGAACCUUUCCAGAAGUUGAGAAUGAUGCUUGUCAACAGUCCAUGUUUUGCAGGGGUACAAUAGAGCUGGAAGAACUUUAUAAACAAAUACAGUAGAGUCUCACUUAUCCAACAUAAAUGGGCCGGCAGAAUGUUGGAUAAGCGAAUAUGUUGGAUAAUAAGGAGGCAUUAAGGAAAUGUCUAUUAAACAUCAAAUUAGGUUAUGAUUUUACAAAUUAAGCAGCAAAACAUCAUGUUAUACAACAAAUUUGACAGAAAAAGUAGUUCAAUAUGCAGUAAUGCUAUGUAGUAAUUACUGUAUUUACGAAUUUAGCACCAAAAUAUCAUGAUGUAUUGAAAACAUUGACUACAAAAAUGCGUUGGAUAAUCCAGAACGUUGGCUAAGCGAGUGUUGGAUAAGUGAGACUCCACUGUAUUUUGGUAUUCCUAUGAAUGUUUUGAUCCUUGAACACACUAUGCUUCAUUAAAAAAAUAACCUGGAACCAAAUCCCAGCCAAUACAAAGAAUCUAUAAUAAAAUCAAUGUAUUGUGAGAUUAUA